GUGUCUCUUGUACUGGUGAGCCCAGAACCUGAAUCAGCACUCCAGAUGUGUCUCACCAGGACUGAGCAGAGGGGAAGGAUCACCUUCCUCAAUUUGCUGGCAAUGCUCUCUGCCUAAUGCAGACAAGGAGAU